rnacentral:rRNA from 1 species
UCCUACGGGACGCAGCAGUGAGGAAUAUUGGUCAAUGGCCGGAAGGCUGAACCAGCCAAGCCGCGUGAAGGACGAAGGUGCCAAGCAUUGUAAACUUCUUUUGUCAAGGGACAAAAUCAGGCUCGAGAGCCUGACCGAGGGUACUUGAAGAAAAAGCAUCGGCUAACUCCGUGCCAGCAGCCGCGGUAAUACGGAGGAUGCGAGCGUUAUCCGGAUUUAUUGGGGUUAAAGGGUGCGUAGGCGGGCUGUUAAGUCAGCGGUAAAAGCACGGGGCUCAACCCGGGCGAGCCGUUGAAACAGGCUGG